rnacentral:lncRNA from 1 species
AUGGCCGGAUCAUGCUGUGACAUGGGCGGGGUGUGUCCGGCAGGAAGUCACUGGGUGGCUCCCCAUGGAAGCUCCCUGAUCAGGAGCAGAUACCCAAGCCUGUCAGGGACACAUGCGUCGGGGGCGGGGAGAGGAUGUGAUGAAUGGUACACAGCCCGCAGGACAGAUCUUGGGGCUCGACAGCCCUCUCAGCCCUAUCCCUGUAACGCAGGGCAUGUCUCUGCCCUGGUGAGGCGUGGCCAGGAAGCUCAGUGCUUGGGGCGGGGGUGGGGGUGGGGUAACGGUGGUGUCCAUCCUGGGGCCAAAGCAGGGCUCCCGCAGGACACAGCUAGAACAGAAAGAGUCCGGAGCAAGGCCAAGCUCGGCGAGGCCAGUGACGCCAGGCCUGAGGUAGCUGAGAUCAUUGGAGGAGACCAAAGGCUGCUGCAGCCCCCCUAUGACCAUAAGGAGACCAAGGGUUUAGAGGACGAAAGCCAAGAAUUAACACAUCAGAAAAGGCUUGGAGGAAACCCAAGAGAAAACAAAAAGACAACUUACAGAAUGGGAGAAGAUAGUUUCAAAUGAUGCAACCGACAAGGGCUUAAUCUCUAGAACAUAUAAGCAACUUCUACAACUCAACAACAAAAAAGCCAAUCAACCAAUGGAAAAAUGGGCAAAAGACCUGAAUAGACUUUUCUCCAAGGAAGAUAUACAGAUGGCCAGCAAACACAUGAAAACAUGCUCAACAUCGCUGAUUAUGAGAGAAAUGCUAAUCAAAACUACCAUGAGAUACCACCUCACACCAGUCAGAAUGGCCAUCAUUCAUAAGUCCACAAAUAACAAGUGCUGGAGGGGGUGUGAAGAAAAGGGAACCCUCCUGCACUGCUGGUGGGAAUGUAAACUGGUACAGCCACUAUGGAGAACAGUUUGGAGAUACCUUAGAAAUCUAUACAUAGAACUUCCAUAUGACCCCGCAAUCCCACUCUUGGGCAUCUAUCUGGACAAAACUCUACUUAAAAGAGACACAUGCACCCACAUGUUCAUUGCAGCACUAUUCACAAUAGCCAGGACAUGGAAACAACCCAAAUGUCCAUUGACAGAGGAUUAGAUUAGGAAGAGGUGGUAUAUAUACACAAUGGAAUACUACUCGGCCACAAAAAAAGAAUGACAUAAUGCUAUUUGCAGCAACAUGGAUGGAACUAGAGAAUCUCAUACUGAGUGAAAUGAGUCAGAAAGACAAAGACAAAUACCAUAUGAUAUCACUUAUAACUGGAAUCUAAUAUCCAGCACAAAUGAACAUCUCCACAGAAAAGAAAAUCAUGGACUUGGAGAAUAGACUUGUGGCUGCCUGAUGGGAGAGGGAGGGAGUGGGAGAGAUCAGGAGCUUGGGGUUAUCAGAUACAACCUAGAAUAGAUUUACAAGGAGAUCCUGCUGAGUUGAAUUGAGAACUAUGUCUAGAUACUCAUAUUGCAACAGAACAAAGGGUGGGGGGAAAAAUGUAUACAUGUAAGAAUAACUUGACCCCCAUGCUGUAUAGCGGGAAAAAAAGGCUUGGAACUUUGCUCACACUGUUGAGUUGCUAAAUUAAUCACCCCUGAAUUCCCUAGCUCUGGAGUUCUUUUAUGAGGUGACAAACCUCAUUACUGUUUAAGCCAUUUUAAGUCGAGUCUUCUGCCACUUGUGGGGAUAAAACACCCUAGCAGGUUCAUGCUUUAAGGUGACUACUCAUUCCCCACUUCCUCUUUCAUUACAGAGAAUGAAAAUGGCAGAUACUUGCUUUCCCAGCUUCUCUUGCAGCUGGGAGCUCAUGUGACCUAGUUUUGACCCAUGAGAUUUAAAGGGAAGCCCACUUGGAGCUUUGGGAAAUGAAUUACCUGUCCCGCCCCCAAUGAAGAAGAGAGGCAUAGGAGGAAAUUUUUUUUCCUUCCAGAAUGAUGUGGUAUGAAAAUGUGACUCUUGGAGCUGUAUCAACCAUCUCGUGACUACUAGGAGCAAAACUGAAUACAAAAACCAGGACACAAGAUGGCAGAGCGGGAAGGAGGGAAGGGCCUGGUUUCUGAUGACACUGCCCUGGGAGAACCAGCCCGCCUACUUUACACACAUUAAGAAAGUAAGAAAGGGGGAGUUCCCGUUGUGGCUCAGUGGAAUCGAAUCAGGUUAGUAUUCAUGAGGACGCAGGUUCGAUCCCUGGCCUCGCUCAGUGGAUUAAGGAUCCGGCAAUGCCAUGAGCUGUGGUGUAGGUCACAGAUGCAGUUCGAAUUCCCCAUGGCUGUGCCUGUGGCUGUAGCUCCAAUAUGACCCUUAGCCUGGGAACUUCGAUGUGCCACAGGUGUGGCCCUGAAAAGCCAAAAAAAAAAAAAGAAAGAAAAGAAAAAAGUAAGAAAGAGCCUUAUGACUUAAACCACUCUUGGUGAGAUAGGUUUUCUUUUACUAGCAGCUUAACACAUCCUUAUUGAUAUAUCCUUUUUUAUAGAGCUAUUGGGUCAGAAAGGAAGUGUGGCUAUGGAGUACAAUCUAGCUCAGCAGUGAGCAUUUGCCUGGUCAUAAUAAUAUAAACAGUGACUUGUUUUAACCAAAAAUUAUAAAAUAGACCUUUGGGGGGUAGCAGAGGGAGGGAAAAUGGGAUCAGGGUCUGCCACUCUUCAUCACCAUGAUAGGAAGUAACAGACAAUGUCUAAACUUAAAAAAUAAAACGUAGUGGUUUAAGUACA